rnacentral:rRNA from 1 species
GAUGAACGCUGGCGGCGUGCCUAAUACAUGCAAGUCGAGCGAACGGACGAGAAGCUUGCUUCUCUGAUGUUAGCGGCGGACGGGUGAGUAACACGUGGAUAACCUACCUAUAAGACUGGGAUAACUUCGGGAAACCGUAGCUAAUACCGGAUAAUCUUUUGAACCGCAUGGUUCAAAAGUGAAAGACGGUCUUGCUGUCACUUAUAGAUGGAUCCGCGCUGCAUUAGCUAGUUGGUAAGGUAACGGCUUACCAAGGCAACGAUGCAUAGCCGACCCGAGAGGGUGAUCGGCCACACUGGAACUGAGACACGGUCCAGACUCCUACGGGAGGCAGCAGUAGGGAAUCUUCCGCAAUGGGCGAAAGCCUGACGGAGCAACGCCGCGUGAGUGAUGAAGGUCUUCGGAUCGUAAAACUCUGUUAUUAGGGAAGAACAUAUGUGUAAGUAACUGUGCACAUCUUGACGGUACCUAAUCAGAAAGCCACGGCUAACUACGUG